rnacentral:rRNA from 1 species
UACAGAGGUCCCGAGCGUUGUUCGGAUUCACUGGGCGUAAAGGGUGCGUAGGUGGUGAGGUAAGUCGGAUGUGAAAUCUCCAAGCUCAACUUGGAAAUGGCAUUGGAAACUACCUUGCUGGAGGUUUGGAGGGGGGACUGGAAUUCUCGGUGUAGCGGUGAAAUGCGUAGAUAUCAAGAGGAACACCUGAGGUGAAGACGGGUUGCUGGGCCAACACUGACGCUGAGGCGCGAAAGCCAGGGGAGCAAACGGG